CGGCGUGCCGCCCGUACGGCUCGUGUCCGUACGGCUCGUGUCCGUACGGCUCGUGUCCGUACGGCUCGUGUCCGUACGCGCCGC
rnacentral:tRNA from 1 species